AUUAAAGUUGUUGCGGUUAAAAAGCUCGUAGUUGGAUCUCGGUUUCACUCAGGUGGUACACCUUGCGGUGUUCACUAUCUGGGUGGACGUUUCUGUUGGUUCGCUCUUGGUGCUCUUCAUCGGGUGCCAUUUGGUGGCCAGCACGUUUACUUUGAAAAAAUUGGAGUGCUCAAAGCAGGCGUUACAGCCUGAACAUUAGUGCAUGGAAUAAUGGAAUAGGAUCUCGAUUCUAUUUCGUUGGCUUUCGGAGUCGAGGUAAUGAUUAAUAGGGACAGACGGGGGCAUUCGUACUGCGACGUUAGAGGUGAAAUUCUUGGAUCGUCGCAAGACGAACUACUGCGAAAGCAUUUGCCAAGAAUGUUUUCAUUAAUCAAGAACGAAAGUUAGAGGUUCGAAGGCGAUCAGAUACCGCCCUAGUUCUAACCAUAAACGAUGCCAACCGGCGAUCCGUCGUCGUUAAUUGAAUGACUCGACGGGCAGCCUCCGGGAAACCAGAGUGUUUGGGUUCCGGGGGAAGUAUGGUUGCAAAGCUGAAACUUAAAGGAAUUGACGGAAGGGCACCACCAGGAGUGGAGCCUGCGGCUUAAUUUGACCCAACACGGGAAAUCUCACCAGGCCCGGACACCGGAAGGAUUGACAGAUUGAGAGCUCUUUCUUGAUUCGGUGGGUGGUGGUGCAUGGCCGUUCUUAGUUGGUGGAGCGAUUUGUCUGGUUAAUUCCGAUAACGAACGAGACUCUGGCCUACUAACUAGAAGGUCUAUCCUUUAUGGGUAGGCCUCUGCUUCUUAGAGGGACGGGCGGCGUUUAGCCGCACGAGAAUGAGCAAUAACUGGUCUGUGAUGCCCUUAGAUGUUCUGGGCUGCACGCGCGCUACACUGAAGGAAUCAGCAUGUUCUCCCCUCCCUGAAAAGGGCGGGUAACCCGUUGAAACUCCUUCGUGAUGGGGAUUGGAGAUUGUAAUUAUUCUCCAUGAACGAGGAAUUCCCAGUAGGCGCGAGUCAUCAGCUUGCGUCGAUUACGUCCCUGCCCUUUGUACACACCGCCCGUCGCUACUACCGAUCGAGUGAUUUAGUGAGGACUUCGGACUGGUCUUCAAGUUGGCUUCGGUCGGCUCGAAGUUCCGGAAAGAUGCCCAAACUUGAUCACUUAGAGGAAGUAAAAGUCGUAACAAGGUUUCCGUAGGUGAACCUGCGGAAG
rnacentral:rRNA from 1 species